GUGCCAGCAGCCGCGGUAAUACGGAGGGUGCAAGCGUUAAUCGGAAUUACUGGGCGUAAAGCGCACGCAGGCGGUCUGUUAAGUCAGAUGUGAAAUCCCCGGGCUCAACCUGGGAACUGCAUUUGAAACUGGCAGGCUAGAGUCUCGUAGAGGGGGGUAGAAUUCCAGGUGUAGCGGUGAAAUGCGUAGAGAUCUGGAGGAAUACCGGUGGCGAAGGCGGCCCCCUGGACGAAGACUGACGCUCAGGUGCGAAAGCGUGGGGGAGCAAACAGGAUUAGAUACCCUGGUAGUCC
rnacentral:rRNA from 1 species